GAUGAACGCUGGCGGCGUGCCUAAUACAUGCAAGUCGAGCGAACGGACGAGAAGCUUGCUUCUCUGAUGUUAGCGGCGGACGGGUGAGUAACACGUGGAUAACCUACCUAUAAGACUGGGAUAACUUCAGGAAACCGGAGCUAAUACCGGAUAAUAUUUUGAACCGCAUGGUUCAAAAGUGAAAGACGGUCUUGCUGUCACUUAUAGAUGGAUCCGCGCUGCAUUAGCUAGUUGGUAAGGUAACGGCUUACCAAGGCAACGAUGCAUAGCCGACCUGAGAGGGUGAUCGGCCACACUGGAACUGAGACACGGUCCAGACUCCUACGGGAGGCAGCAGUAGGGAAUCUUCCGCAAAGGGCGAAAGCCUGACGGAGCAACGCCGCGUGAGUGAUGAAGGUCUUCGGAUCGUAAAACUCUGUUAUUAGGGAAGAACAUAUGUGUAAGUAACUGUGCACAUCUUGACGGUACCUAAUCAGAAAGCCACGGCUAACUACGUG
rnacentral:rRNA from 1 species